GACAGCAGUCGCCACGGUAACACCAGCACCUCGAGUGGUCAGGAGGUUUAUUGGGCCUAAAGCAUCCGUAGCCGGUUGCAUAAGUUUUCGGUUAAAUCUAUGCGCUUAACGUAUAGACCGCCGAAAAUACUGUGCAGCUAGGGAGUGGGAGAGGUACACGGUACUCGAUAGGAAGGGGUAAAAUCCUUUGAUCUAUUGAUGACCACCUGUGGCGAAGGCGGUGUACCAGAACACGUUCGACGGUGAGGGAUGAAAGCUGGGGGAGCAAACCGGAUUAGAUACCCCGGUAGUCCCUGUCUCUUAUAC
rnacentral:rRNA from 1 species